rnacentral:rRNA from 1 species
GACGAACGCUGGCGGCGUGCUUAACACAUGCAAGUCGAACGAAGAGCGAUGGAAGCUUGCUUCUAUCAAUCUUAGUGGCGAACGGGUGAGUAACGCGUAAUCAACCUGCCCUUCAGAGGGGGACAACAGUUGGAAACGACUGCUAAUACCGCAUACGAUCUAACCUCGGCAUCGAGGAAAGAUGAAAGGUGGCCUCUAUUUAUAAGCUAUCACUGAAGGAGGGGAUUGCGUCUGAUUAGCUAGUUGGAGGGGUAACGGCCCACCAAGGCGAUGAUCAGUAGCCGGUCUGAGAGGAUGAACGGCCACAUUGGGACUGAGACACGGCCCAGACUCCUACGGGAGGCAGCAGUGGGGAAUCUUCCGCAAUGGACGAAAGUCUGACGGAGCAACGCCGCGUGAGUGAUGACCGGCUUCGGGUUGUAAAGCUCUGUUAAUCGGGACGAAAGGCCUUCUUGCGAAUAGUUAGAAGGGUUGA